AUGCUUGCCUUGGUCAGCACACAUACAAAAACUGAAAUGAUACAAAAUAGAUUGCUAUAACCCCUGUGCAAUGGUGACAUACCAACUCUUAAAAAUGUUUCAUAUUUUU
rnacentral:snRNA from 1 species